rnacentral:misc_RNA from 1 species
UAGUCAGGGUCGCCCUCGAGCGGAAGUAGAGGAUUCCUCGCUAACGCAGGUUUCAACUCCGUAUGACUUCGCAGGAUCCGCAAUCUCGUCGACUUGGGCGCCAAAGUCGUCGUCGACGGAUC